GCCCCGGUAGCUCAGCGGAGGAGCAGCGGUUUCCGAAGCCGAAGGACAGGGGUUCAAAUCCCUUCCGGGGUACCA
rnacentral:tRNA from 1 species